rnacentral:lncRNA from 1 species
AUGUAUUAUAUUAUCCCCAACUCUGUUAAUCUUCUGGUUUGCUGUUCUUCCAUUAUUAAAGACUUAAAAAAAAAAAAGAAAGAAAGAAAGAAAAAAAGGAAUUUAAAAAGUGCCCCAAGGCCAAUAUCGCCUCUCUGCCUGCCCAGCAAGGGAACAAUAUACUGUUUCUCAGGCUACGUGACUCGGAAAACUUACCCGUCAGGGAAAGCUGAGUCUUUAAAUUUACAGAACACCCACUCGCCCCGUUUGCCUAGCACUGUUUCCUACGUGCAGACUGCUAAUGGACUCGAGCGUCCCGUUUCUCGGCUCGGAUCCCAGAGGCUCCCGACCCUCUGUGGUAGGCACCGCCACCUCGCAGGGGGACGAUCCUGGCCCGCUCUGCGGCACAAAAACUUGACCUUAAAAAGCGCAGAAGCUCGUCUCUGGGAAGGGCGCGGCCUGGGAGGCGCGGCCCGCAGCUUCCGCCCCCAAAGAACGACUCGGAGGCCCCCUCCAGCCCCGGGUGCCCUGGCGCAGAAGCCGCGGGAGCAGUCCUUUCACGCGCCCCGCGUCCCUGUCCCGAAGCCCAGGGGCGGGGGCUCGGGCAGCAUCGCUCGUCCCCGCUGGUCCAGGGCUGCGGAGAAGCUGCAGGAGGCUCUGAAAAGCGAGCGUCGGGAACCCGGGCUCAGCAGUUCCCCCGGGCCCCCUGCGCCCCGCAGCAGCGCGGGCCAGGCUGCGCAGCGCUGGGCCCCGAAGGGCCAGGACGGCGGGAUGCCCCCGCUCCCGGCAAGGGCGCGCCCACGAGCCGCGUUCUUGGCACUCGGGGAGAGUCGCGGGAAAGCCCGGCGCUGGCGCGCCUGCGACUCCAGCCUGGCGGCUCCGCUCCGCCCGCGAGCCCAGGAAGCCGGCGCCGCGGCCCGCGUCCGUUAUCCAGGACACACUCCGCGCCUGCCGCCCGCCGCCCUUUCCCAGCGCUGGCCUCGGGGAACUUCCCCGCGUCCGGCCGCGGACAGCGGCUGCUGCGGGAGCCGCGAAGUUGCGGCUUCUGCUAGGCGCGCGUGCGCGCCGGGUAGCCCACCUGGCCCGCGACGCUGUGUCCGCCCGCCGCGCGCUCUGGUCGGCCCCGGGGUUACCGCAGGCGCAGGGAGAGGCCGGGGUUCAGCCCAGGUCCCCGCGCGGCUCCGCGAGGGCGCCCCCGCCUGCCGCCUGGAGAGGGACGCGGCGCCGAAGUUUUCCCCGGCGGGAAAACGAAAGUCGUGA